rnacentral:rRNA from 1 species
CAGUAGCCGCGGGAAAACGAAGGGUGCAAGCGUUACUCGGAAUUACUGGGCGUAAAGCGUGCGUAGGUGGUGGUUUAAGUCCGUUGUGAAAGCCCUGGGCUCAACCUGGGAAUUGCAGUGGAUACUGGGUCACUAGAGUGUGGUAGAGGAUAGUGGAAUUUCCGGUGUAGCAGUGAAAUGCGUAGAGAUUGGAAGGAACAUCUGUGGCGAAGGCGACUAUCUGGGCCAACACUGACACUGAGGCACGAAAGCGUGGGGAGCAAACAGGAUUAGAUACCCGCGUAUCCCUGUCUCUUAUACA